rnacentral:misc_RNA from 1 species
AACGCGAAUGGCACUGUUACGUAAGUAGCAGUAUGUCUGUUUGAGAAUCGCAAAAAACGAUCAACUCUAGUUAAGAGUUGGGCUUGACCUUGCGUGCUGUGGUGCGCUUGGUUUAAAUUGAUCGAGUUGAUGAGCUUCCCAGCGCGGCUUAUUGUGUGCUAGCGAGACAGUCGUCCCGAUGUCACAAUCCUGUCGCGUUGCAGAGUUCUAACCACAACUCGCAAAAUACUUUAAUCAUAUACGAUCUCAAAUCAGGCAAGAUUACCCGCUGAACUUAA